UCAAAAAGGGUGUAAAGUGGGUUUUAGUUUUACUCCUUUUAUGUGUCUUUGUUUUUAAGCAGUUUAUUGUAAUAGUGACACAACUUUACAUUAAGUUGUGUUAAUAACAACAAAAUACUACUUAAUGAUACUAAUGCUGCGUUCCAGGCAGGUUUUGAGCCCGCAAAUCACGACUUCAAAACCACGACUCAGUCAAGACUCAAAACUUGGAGUAGGACUACGCGUUGCCUGGAACGCAGCAUAAUAUUUAUUAUAGCGUAUCUUCUUUCCCGAUGACACGACGUAGCUUGCAAUGGAUCUUGGACACAGUAGUCAAUAAACUUCUACAAUGUUAGAGACGCUUUGUGAAAAGGACUACAUUUCCCAUAAUGCCCCGCCCAACGCUCGCUGGAGAAACCGGAAGCGCGAAUUUGAAACGCUGAACCAACGACGCGGGACCUUUUGUUUGUAUUGUGAAGAGCUGUAUAAUAAAGCAAGAAAUCAUGUACACAUUAUCAGCUUUAGAAGUGGAUGUCAUUCCUGCAGUCUUUGUGAAGAAUGAUGCGAGUUAAAUUUAUUUCAUUUGAACAACCUAACAGGUUAAACGGUAAACAAAUCUGUGUAUUUGAUAUGACUUUGAUAGAUAUUGUUACAACUUGGAAAACAACAGACCAAACCAGUCAGAGACAGCGAUGUGAGGACAUCAACAGAAAAUAAAAGUCGUUUGGUGCGCGAUUACAGACAGCCCUCUCACAGACAGCCCUCUCACUCGGACAUUCACGUAACCCGGCUGCGCGCAUCAAAAGGUUUUUACGGAAGCAGAUGAAGAUGCUGUAAGAAGUCCUUUAUGUGCACAGAGAUGGAGGUUGAAAAGUUACUAAAACACGCUCAUAUUAGGCACGGUUCCUUGAAUCGUGCCUGAGCUCGCUUUCAUCAUUAGGAUGCGAUUGUUUGCAGAACACAAGAAGUAAAGCACUGUCAAUGUGAGUCAAACAACUGCUCGACUGAGGAGUUGAAGAGAGAAGGGCAGCUGCACAUUUCUAAAAUUGUGAAAGCACUCUGUCGGCUACACAACUCGGAGGCAAAUUGUAGGCACUAUCACCAGGAGCAGAGAUUAAGCUCACCACAUAAUGGGAAGGACACCUCAUUUUUAGUGGGAGCACUGGCUACAAGCCUGGAGUUGCACAAUGAAGGCCUUGAUAAAAAUUAAUUUGUGGCCUGCAAGACAUUACCAGAGCUAGCCAGUGUGGCCACAUCACGGAGUGACCAGAGGAGGAAGAGGUUGUGUUUCAGCUCUUGGAGUCUAACCCAGUGUACUAGCUGUGGACAAAGUGGGCUUCUGAAGGGGAAUCACCACUGACAUGAUUUCAGAUGAAGAAUACAAUGCUGUUGAUGGAGUGUCGGGUGGAUUGUGAGACCUUCAUCGUUCUGCAGUCAGGCGCUCCGCAAUCUGUGUGCUAAGCUGCAGCUGCAACUGUGUGUGUUCAAACUAUGCAGCGUUGCAUCACAGUCUGCAAUCUGAAUUGCUGUCUAACAGAAUGCCACCGCUUGCCUAUGACCCCAAGGCAGCAAAAUGAACACAUUUGAUGCCAAAUGUGAUCCCAACAACAUAAUCGUUGGCUUUUUUUGACUUUGUGUGUAUUUAUUUUUCCUAUGCUUUAUUAAUAAAACUCUUAAAUUUUAUCAACAUGUCUCUCCCAAAUGUCUGUUUUCUUUCCCUAAUAUUUUUUUAUUAAUGCCCUUAGCCCAUGGUAUACGUUACAUAGUCUUUAUAAUAUUAGCCUUCAUGACACAUAAAUUUUUUGUUAUA